UCUGACCCUUAUGUCGGUCUUCAGAUCACAUGUCUCAUUGAGCUUGUUACCCAGUAACCGGUAACACCUCAUCUCGCUGCUUCCCCAAGAGAGUCUUUUUAGACAUCCCCAGCAAGGUCCCUUAGUGGAUCGUCCUCGUCCGGAUUUUAUCCAAAGUAUCCGUUGUGGAUAGUUUCGCUGUAUUGGCAUAUUCCCCAAUACAUGCAUCUUUGAGUCAGUUCGAGUCUUUCC
rnacentral:lncRNA from 1 species